AUGUCUCCCUUCUCCACUUCGGCGGGAAGAGCACCGGCUUUUCCAAGCGCCUUCCUCCGGUCCGGACCCACCAGGUGUCGAGGCGCGGAAGGCGGCCGGGCUGUUAUUCUCCUCUGCCUUGAGGCGGGACGGUUCCAAGACGUCCGAGCCUCCUCCGUGGAGGGUCCAGUCCCGGAGGCAGAGGCUCCGGGGCUGUUUCGGGCGGACGCCGGAGCAACGCGGCCGGUCAGGGCCCAGCGCUUGGCUUUCUCGGCGUCGGACCCCCUGGGAGCCCCUCCGUGGGAAACGAUGCGCAGCCACCUCGGGUGGAAUCGGGGAAGCUUUAAUGCAGAAAAAAAGGAAAGAAAGACUGAUUGGGGAAGGGUCAUAGGGAAAAACCCUUCCCCUUUUGGAAGGGGAGGCAGCCAGCCGGAGAGAGUAACGUUAGCCUCGAACUAGAAAGGAAGUGUCUGCUGUGCCGUCAGCAAAAAGAAAGCAAAAAGAAGGUAAGUUGAAAGGACAGAGAAAAUGGAAGUUAUAAGGAUCAGUUACAUUGGCUUCCGCCCUCUCUCCACCGACCACUUAAGAACACAA
rnacentral:lncRNA from 1 species